AUAGCAUAUUUCUUAUUCUACUUUCUAUAUAAUUUUGUGCUAUUUUUCUGAUUUUUUUUUGAAUUUUUUACCCUUAGAUUUCACUCUUCAUGGUUUUGUCAAGAAAUCACACGGUUUUUGCCGACAUACCAGCUUAUGAAUUCAAAAUUUUCAAAUCUAUCCUGGUGGUCAUCAACUCCGUCCGAUCAAAUCUACGAGAUAAUGAACAACACGAUGAAAGAUGGCGCGACACGCCUACACUGUGAUGGCUUCCAUGAAUCAGCAAAGAC
rnacentral:lncRNA from 1 species